ACUCCAGUGAUAAUCAUCAUAACAAGUUGCAAAGUAGGCUUAUGGAAUGGUGCAGUGCAAUUAUCUAAUACAGCUGCGUCAAAAUUCUAUCUAAACUCAAGUGAUCCAAGUGUUAGAGAACUCAGAAAAAUCUUGAAAAAACCAGGUACUGUUUUAAGAACUAUAGGGAAACCAAAAAGGAAGAUACCCGAGUUGCAUUCCAUUGACUCAAUUCAUACUCUUGGGAAAGAGUACAUAGAGACAGAGGUGAUUACACACGUAAAGUUUGUGGCUGUUGACGAGAGUGUACCAUGGUACAGAAAUGUUUGCACCACCUGUUGGAAUGAAGUGCACAUCAACAAUGACCAGUUCUUAUGUUCUCUAUGUAACAGAAUAAUACCUCA